rnacentral:rRNA from 1 species
GACGAACGCUGGCGGCGUGCUUAACACAUGCAAGUCGAACGGAAAGGCCCUGCUUUUGUGGGGUGCUCGAGUGGCGAACGGGUGAGUAACCCGUGAGUAACCUGCCCUUGACUUUGGGAUAACUUCAGGAAACUGGGGCUAAUACCGGAUAGGAGCUCCUGCUGCAUGGUGGGGGUUGGAAAGAUUCGGCGGUUGGUGAUGGACUCGCGGCUUAUCAGCUUGUUGGUGGGGUAGUGGCUUACCAAGGCUUUGACGGGUAGCCGGCCUGCGAGGGUGACCGGCCACAUUGGGACUGGGAUGCGGCCCAGACUCCUCCGGGACGCAGCAGUGGGGAAUAGUGCACAAUGGGCGGAAGCCUGAUGCAGCAACGCCGCGUGCGGGAUGACGGCCUUCGGGUUGUAAACCGCUUUCGCCUGUGACGAAGCGUGAGUGACGGUAAUGGGUAAAGAAGCACCGGCUAACUACGUG